rnacentral:rRNA from 1 species
CCUACGGGUGGCAGCAGUGGGGAAUAUUGGACAAUGGGGGGAACCCUGAUCCAGCGACGCCGCGUGAGUGAAGAAGUAUCUCGGUAUGUUAAGCUCUAUCAGCAGGGAAGAAAGAAAUGACGGUACCUGACUAAGAAGCCCCGGCUAACUACGAGCCAGCAGCCGGGGUAAUACGUAGGGGGCAAGUGUUAUCCGGAUUUACUGGGUGUAAAGGGAGCGUAGACGGUUACGCAAGUCUGGAGUGAAAGGCGGGGGCCCAACCCCCGGACUGCUUUGGAAACUGUAUAACUGGAGUGCAGGAGAGGUAAGUGGAAUGCCUGGUGUAGCGGUGAAAUGCAUAGAUAUUAGGAGGAACACCAGUGGCGAAGGCGGCUUACUGGACUGUAACUGACGUUGAGGCUCGAAAGCGUGGGGAGCAAACAGGAUUAGAUACCCUAGUAGUC